GACGAACGCUGGCGGCGUGCUUAACACAUGCAAGUCGAACGGAAAGGCCCUGCUUUUGUGGGGUGCUCGAGUGGCGAACGGGUGAGUAACACGUGAGUAACCUGCCCUUGACUUUGGGAUAACUUCAGGAAACUGGGGCUAAUACCGGAUAGGAGCUCCUGCUGCAUGGUGGGGGUUGGAAAGUUUCGGCGGUUGGGGAUGGACUCGCGGCUUAUCAGCUUGUUGGUGGGGUAGUGGCUUACCAAGGCUUUGACGGGUAGCCGGCCUGAGAGGGCGACCGGCCACAUUGGGACUGAGAUACGGCCCAGACUCCUACGGGAGGCAGCAGUGGGGAAUAUUGCACAAUGGGCGGAAGCCUGAUGCAGCAACGCCGCGUGCGGGAUGACGGCCUUCGGGUUGUAAACCGCUUUCGCCUGUGACGAAGCGUGAGUGACGGUAAUGUGUAAAGAAGCACCGGCUAACUACGUG
rnacentral:rRNA from 1 species